rnacentral:rRNA from 1 species
CCUACGGGUGGCAGCAGUGGGGAAUAUUGGACAAUGGGGGGAACCCUGAUCCAGCCAUGCCGCGUGUGUGAAGAAGGCCCUCGGGUUGUAAAGCACUUUCAGUGAGGAAGAACGCCUGGUGGUUAAUACCCAUCAGGAAAGACAUCACUCACAGAAGAAGCACCGGCUAACUCCGUGCCAGCAGCCGCGGUAAUACGGAGGGUGCGAGCGUUAAUCGGAAUUACUGGGCGUAAAGCGCGCGUAGGUGGCUUGAUAAGCCGGUUGUGAAAGCCCCGGGCUCAACCUGGGAACGGCAUCCGGAACUGUCAAGCUAGAGUGCAGGAGAGGAAGGUAGAAUUCCCGGUGUAGCGGUGAAAUGCGUAGAGAUCGGGAGGAAUACCAGUGGCGAAGGCGGCCUUCUGGACUGACACUGACACUGAGGUGCGAAAGCGUGGGUAGCAAACAGGAUUAGAUACCCUGUAGUC